rnacentral:lncRNA from 1 species
CUUACGAUCUUCUUCUUGGAUCUUCGGUUAUUGCCUCACCUUCUUCUGGUGGGUACCUUGAUCUCAAAAUUUGAUCUUGCAAUUAAUAUUUGAAACUUGAACUUGAAACUUGGAUUGAGUCAUUGAUACUCUACCAAAGAACAGUUCAUGGAAUACUUUGGAUGCUUGUUCUCCUGAUCAGAAGCCAAGAGAUGUCGCCUGAGAUAUCGGGCCGCUAUGGAUGCAAAGCUGGCUCUAACUAUCUUCAAACUGACCAUUCUUCUAUAUUUUAACCGGAGAUGAGAUUUCGUUCUUGGAUAGACCUGUGCUUUGCGGAAAACCUGCAAGCCAUCAAAGAAGACGAAACAAACA